rnacentral:rRNA from 1 species
AGCAGCCGCGGUAAUUCCAGCUCCAAUAGCGUAUAUUAAAGUUGUUGCAGUUAAAAAGCUCGUAGUUGAAUUUCGGGAUCAAUAUGCUGGUCGUGCCAUUGGUACGUACUAGUAUUAUUGGUUUCUUCCUUCUGAUGAAUCAUGAUGUCAUUAAGUUGAUGUCAUGGGGAAUCAGGACUGUUACUUUGAAAAAUUAGAGUGUUUAAAGCAGGCUCGCGCUUGAAUACAUUAGCAUGGAAUAAUGAAAUAGGACGUUUGAUUCUAUUUUGUUGGUUUCUAGAAUUGACGUAAUGAUUAAUAGGGAUAGUUGGGGGCAUUAGUAUUCAAUUGUCAGAGGUGAAAUUCUUGGAUUUAUUGAAGACUAACUACUGCGAAAGCAUUUGCCAAGGAUGUUUUCAUUAAUCAAGAACGAAAGUUAGGGGAUCGAAGACGAUCAGAUACCGUCGUAGUCUUAACCAUAAACUAUGCCGACUAGGGAUCGGAUGAUGUUAAUUUUUAAUU